rnacentral:rRNA from 1 species
GGCAACGAUCAGUAGGGGUUCUGAGAGGAAGGUCCCCCACAUUGGAACUGAGACACGGUCCAAACUCCUACGGGAGGCAGCAGUGAGGAAUAUUGGUCAAUGGACGAGAGUCUGAACCAGCCAAGUAGCGUGCAGGAAGACGGCCCUAUGGGUUGUAAACUGCUUUUAUAAGGGAAUAAAGUGAGUCUCGUGAGACUUUUUGCAUGUACCUUAUGAAUAAGGACCGGCUAAUUCCGUGCCAGCAGCCGCGGUAAUACGGAAGGUCCGGGCGUUAUCCGGAUUUAUUGGGUUUAAAGGGAGCGUAGGCCGGAGAUUAAGCGUGUUGUGAAAUGUAGAUGCUCAACAUCUGAACUGCAGCGCGAACUGGUUUCCUUGAGUACGCACAAAGUGGGCGGAAUUCGUGGUGUAGCGGUGAAAUGCUUAGAUAUCACGAAGAACUCCGAUUGCGAAGGCAGCUCACUGGAGCGCAACUGACGCUGAAGCUCGAAAGUGCGGGUAUCAAACAGGAUUAGAUACCCUGGUAGUCCGCACGGUAAACGAUGGAUGCCCGCUGUUGGUCUGAAUAGGUCAGCGGCCAAGCGAAAGCAUUAAGCAUCCCACCUGGGGAGUACGCCGGCAACGGUGAAACUCAAAGGAAUUGACGGGGGCCCGCACAAGCGGAGGAACAUGUGGUUUAAUUCGAUGAUACGCGAGGAACCUUACCCGGGCUUGAAUUGCAGAGGAAGGAUUUGGAGACAAUGACGCCCUUCGGGGCCUCUGUGAAGGUGCUGCAUGGUUGUCGUCAGCUCGUGCCGUGAGGUGUCGGCUUAAGUGCCAUAACGAGCGCAACCCCUCUCCUUAGUUGCCAUCAGGUGAAGCUGGGCACUCUGGGGACACUGCCACCGUAAGGUGUGAGGAAGGUGGGGAUGACGUCAAAUCAGCACGGCCCUUACGUCCGGGGCUACACACGUGUUACAAUGGCAGGUACAGAGAGACGGUCCCUUGCAAAAUGGAUCAAAUCCUUAAAGCCUGUCUCAGUUCGGACUGGGGUCUGCAACCCGACCCCACGAAGCUGGAUUCGCUAGUAAUCGCGCAUCAGCCAUGGCGCGGUGAAUACGUUCCCGGGCCUUGCACA